CCUACGGGUGGCAGCAGUGGGGAAUAUUGGGCAAUGGGCGCAAGUCUGACCCAGCAACGCCGCGUGAAGGAAGAAGGCUUUCGGGUUGUAAAGUUCUUUUGGCAGGGACGAAGCAAGUGACGGUACCUGACGAAUAAGCCACGGCUAACUACGUGCCAGCAGCCGUGGUAAUACGUAGGUGGCAAGCGUUAUCCGGAUUUAGUGGGGGUAAAGGGGGUGUAGGCGGGACUGCAAGUCAGAGGUGAAAACCAGGGGCUCAACCUGUGGCCUGCAUUUGAAACUGUAGUUCUUGAGUACUGGAGGGGCAGACGGAAUUCCUAGUGUAGCGGUGAAAUGCGUAGAUAUUAGGAGGAACACCAGUGGCGAAGGCGGUCUGCUGGACUGCAACUGACGCUGAGGCGCGAAAGCGUGGGGAGCAAACAGGAUUAGAUACCCUUGUAGUC
rnacentral:rRNA from 1 species